CUAUAGUGGUUGACAAUUUUUUAAUCCAUCCUUUCUGACCCUAAUUCACCCACAACACUCUCUUCUUCUCACACAAUUACCGAUGUAACCACCACUAGAAGCACCUCUCCUCGUAGGUAUUCGUCGUCCACUGAGUUCGCUACACCGCUGCCUUCAUCUUUGAGAUCUCGGCGCUGUCGUCGUUGUCUUCUGCGCCGUCACCGUCGCGUUGUCUUUUGCACCGUCACUGUCGUUGUUGUCGUAUUUAGCUCGCGGCGCCAUUGCCUUUGUCUAUCUCGGCACUAUCGCGGUCGUCUUCAUCAAUUUCUCAAGCAGCUUGGAGGUAAUAGUUGCUUCUUUGCUAUGCUCUCUCUUGUUUGUGGUUCUGCUCUCAGAGUCGUCGUUGUGCCUCUUCUCUGCUCUCUCUCUUCGCCAUCAUUGUUCUAGGCAGAUCCAGAACAAGAAAUUGAAAUUGAAAUUCCGUCAUUAUUAUCACUCACUGCAUCAAGUUGGUUCCUGUUGUCGGUUUGAGUGGAAGCAUUAGUGGCAUUGGUGCAUGCGUUUGCCUGGUAAACCUUGACGGCGGUGGUGGAUGAAGACGAAGAGUCUGCAUGAUCGACAUCAGAGCUUAAUGUGUCGUCAAAGGAGUUACUUUGGAUGCAAUUUUGGUAGCUUUCUAGGAAGAAAUUAAAUAGUACCCUUUUGAAGACCAAGAAUACAUGUUGCACAUUCCUUGUCCACCAAGAUAAGUCAAUCUGUUUAGCACAUCUGAUGAUGAUGUCACAACUAAUAAUUAUAAAAUGCAUGUGUUUUAAUUUAUCAUCGUUAGCUAAGUGAUUUUGUUUAAUUUGUUGUUAGUUAGUACCUUUGAGAGACAAGAGUGUAGAAGAAGAGAAUGGAACCUCCAUGAGAUGUGGAUGCUCCAGCUGGUCUCUUCGGGAGAGAUAGAUCAUAGUAUACUACUAUGGUGGCUCUCAUCCUUGCUUCGCCUUCAACCACCAUUUCCAUUCUUUCUAGCAUCAAAAAGCAAGCACAGGGAUCACAUUUGUUGGUUAUAACUGAUCGAGAAUGUGUUGGAUCUUACUUGGGGCAUCCAAUUUUUAAAAUAUCUUCCUUGAAGUUUUUUCCCUCUCAUAAUUUUUAUACCUUAUUUGUCAAUAGAAGACAGAAAUGGAAUUUCUAGGGCUGCUAAAUAUUGCUGAGAAAACUCAUGGUCUGUUCUUCUCAUACGAAAUUAACUUAACUUUGAGAGGGUUUAUGGUGAUGAAUAGAAGAAGUGUACAAUAACAAAAUAGACCUGACACUGAAGCUGUUACUUUGUGGUGAUGAGAUAGAAAAAGAAAGGUGGAGGAAGCUGAAGAGGUCAUUAUCAGUUAUCAAAGAUAGGCAGCAUCAGAUAUAUAUAGUAUACAUAAAUAUAAAUUUGUUGUAUUUGUGUGGAUUUGUUUCUACCUUCAUUUUUCUUUCAAUACAUAUAUGUAGUAUACAUAAAUAUAUUUAUUUGUAUUAGAAUCUAUUUUCCAUUUUA